AAGAAUCGUGGAGGUAGAGCACUGAUUGGGUGCGGGGCCCGCAAGGGUUACCAAGCUCAGUCAAACUCCGAAUGCCAUAGAUUUAGUUCCGGGAGUCAGACAGUGAGUGCUAAGAUCCAUUGUCGAAAGGGAAACAGCCCAGACCAUCAGCUAAGGUCCCCAAGUGUGUGUUAAGUGGGAAAGGAUGUGGAGUUGCACAGACAACCAGGAUGUUGGCUUAGAAGCAGCCACCAUUGAAAGAGUGCGUAAUAGCUCACUGGUCGAGUGACUCUGCGCCGAAAAUGUAACGGGGCUAAACACACCACCGAAGCUAUGGCUUGAUGCUUGCAUCAGGGGUAGGGGAGCGUUGAAUGCGGGUUGAAGGUGUACCGGAAGGAGCGCUGGACUGCAUUCAAGUGAGAAUGCCGGUAUGAGUAACGAAAAGAUCUGUGAGAAUCAGAUCCGCCGAAAGCCUAAGGGUUCCUGAGGAAGGUUCGUCCGCUCAGGGUAAGUCGGGACCUAAGGCGAGGCCGAUAGGCGUAGUCGAAGGACAACAGGUAGAAAUUCCUGUACCACCGUAAUCCGCUAUGAGCGAUGGGGUGACGCAGUAGGGUAGUGACGCGGACUGAUGGAUGUCCGUCUAAGCAGUGAGGCUGAUGUGUAGGCAAA
rnacentral:rRNA from 1 species